rnacentral:rRNA from 1 species
AGCGAACGCUGGCGGCAGGCCUAACACAUGCAAGUCGAACGAACCUUUCGGGGUUAGUGGCGGACGGGUGAGUAACACGUGGGAACGUGCCUUUAGGUUCGGAAUAACUCAGGGAAACUUGUGCUAAUACCGAAUGUGCCCUUCGGGGGAAAGAUUUAUCGCCUUUAGAGCGGCCCGCGUCUGAUUAGCUAGUUGGUUGAGGUAAUGGCUCACCAAGGCGACGAUCAGUAGCUGGUCUGAGAGGAUGAUCAGCCACAUUGGGACUGAGACACGGCCCAAACUCCUACGGGAGGCAGCAGUGGGGAAUCUUGCGCAAUGGGCGAAAGCCUGACGCAGCCAUGCCGCGUGAAUGAUGAAGGUCUUAGGAUUGUAAAAUUCUUUCACCGGGACGAUAAUGACGGUACCCGGAGAAGAAGCCCCGGCUAACUUCGUG